rnacentral:ncRNA from 1 species
UGGGUGUAGAUAUGCGGGAGGGGCAACCCGACAGUGAAAUACCGCAACCGUCAACGUUGUUUUACUUACUCGGUGGCGCGGAGGGAGGCUCGCCUCACUUCUGGAUCCAAGCCGCUUCGUGCGCGCGAUCCGCGUCGGGGACACUAACAGGUGGGGAGUUUGGCUGGGGCGGCACGUCUGUUAAAAAAUAACGCAGGCGCCCGAUUUUGAGCUCAAUGAGAACAGAAAUCUCAUGUGGACCGAAAGGGGAAAAGCUCGGUUGAUUUUGAUUUUCAGUACGAAUACAAACCGCGAAAGCGUGGCCUAUCGAUCCUCUCGUCUUUGGGAAUUUCAAGCUAGAGGUGUCAGAAAAGUUACCACAGGGAUAACUGGCUUGUGGCUGCCAAGCGUUCAUAGCGACGUAGCUUUUUGAUCCUUCGAUGUCGGCUCUUCCUAUCACUGCCUCGCAGCGGGGGCCAAAUGCAGGAUUGUUCACCCACCAACAGGGAACGUGAGCUGGGUUUAGACCGUCGUGAGACAGGUUAGUUUUACCCUACUGCUGUCUGUUUUUCUACGGUAAUUUGGUUCAGUACGAGAGGAACCACCAAUUCGCAUCAUCGGUAUAGCCGCCGCCGGAAACGGCGAUGCGGCGAAGCUGCCAUGCGCCGGAUUAUAACUGAACGCCUCUAAGUUAGAAUCCAUGCCGGAAGGAAAGCCACCUACCGGCCCGGGGACGCCACGAGCAACGGUAGCACUGCCUGAGCCGCGAGCGACCACAAUUCACGGACCCGGGCCGACGAAUCCCUUGCAGACGACUUGAAUAAGGAACGGGGUAUUGUACGCGGCAGAGUGGCCUUGUUGCCACGAUCGGCUGAGAUUCAGCCUUGGUUCUGACGAUUUGU